rnacentral:rRNA from 1 species
UCAAGCGAACAAGGGCGCAGGGCGAAUGCCUUGGCACUGGGAGCCGAUGAAAGACGUGAUAAGCUGCGAUAAGCUUCGGGGAGCUGCAAAUAAGCAUUGAUCCGGAGAUUUCUGAAUGAGGAAACUCACCUGGGUUCAUACUCAGGUACGUUAUACUGAACUUAAAAAUAGGUAUAUCGAGGGAACCGCCUGAACUGAAACAUCUAAGUAGGGCGAGGAAGAGACAUCAAACGAGAUUCCGUAAGUAGUGGCGAGCGAACGCGGAAGAGGGCAAACCGGGAGUAGAAAUACUUCCGGGGUACGGACUGCUUUUAGGACUUAAUCUGUUAACCGAACGGCAUGGGAAGGCCGGUCAGAGAGUGUGAGAACCACGUAGGUGAAAACGGAGAGAGCUGCGCAGGAUCCAGAGUACGGCCAGACACGUGAAACCUGGUCGGAAUAUGGGGGGACCACCCUCCAACCCUAAAUACUACCCAGUGACCGAUAGCGUAUAGUACUGUGAAGGAAAGGUGAAAAGCACCCCGGGAGGGGAGUGAAAAAGAACCUGAAACCCUGUGCCUACAAGCACCUAGAGCACGUCAAUGUGUGAUAGGGUACUUUUUGUAGAACGGUCCGGCGAGCGAUUGUAUGCAGCAAGGUUAAGGACUUAAGGUCUGGAGCCGAAGCGAAAGCGAGUUUGAAAAGGGCGUUAAGUUGCAUACAAUGGGCCCGAAACCGGGUGACCUACCCAUGGUCAGGUUGAAGUGGAAGUAAAAUUCCAUGGAGGACCGAACCGACCUCCGUUGAAAAGGCGGCGGAUGAACUGUGGGUAGCGGAGAAAUUCCAAUCGAACCCGGAGAUAGCUGGUUCUCCCCGAAAUAGUUUUAGGACUAGCCUCAAGUUAGAUACCUGGAGGUAAAGCACUGAAUAGCCUAGCGGCCGAGAGGUUAGCGAAGCUUAUCAAACUCAGAAUGCCAGAGUAUUGAUGCUUGGGAGUCAGACAGUGUCAGAUAAAUGUCAUUGUCAAAAGGGAAACAGCCCAGAUCUACAGCUAAGGUCCCAAAGUCAGGUUAAGUGGAAAACGAUGUGAAGAUACGCAGACAACCAGGAUGUUGGCUCAGAAGCAGCCACUCAUUCAAAGAGUGCGUAAUAGCUCACUGGUCGAGCGUCUUUGCGCGGAGAAUUUAACGGGGCUAAACCUGACACCGAAGCUUAGGCAAUACAGCAAUGUAUUGGGUAGGGGAGCGUUGUAUACGCGGUGAAACAGUAGCGCAAGCGGCUGUGGAGUGUAUAGAAGUGAGAAUGCCGGAAUGAGUAGCGCGAAUGCAGUGAGAAUCUGCAUGGCCGAAAGCCUCAGGUUUCUGGAGGAAGGUUCGUCCGCUCCAGGUUAGUCGGGAGCUAAGGUGAGGCCUAACGGCGUAGCCGAUGCACAGACGGUAGAGAUUCCGUCACCACCAAAAGAGUUAAGCACAGGGACACAUUUGAAGUCUCGGAGCCGGGUGUUGGUUCCGGUAGCGAUCGAGGGAAAUUAGUACCGAAGUCCGGGAUGGAAGAUGGCGAGAAAAGCUGUGUGUAUUUCUGCGGUGCCCGUACCGCAAACCGACACAGGUAGGUAGGAAGAAGAUUCUAAGGCCAACGGGAGAAGGGUUGUUAAGGAACUCGGCAAAUUGACCCCGUAACUUCGGGAGAAGGGGUGCUCCAGAGAUGGAGCCGCAGAGAAUCGGCCCAAGCAACUGUUUACCAAAAACACAGGUUUGUGCUAAAUCGAAAGAUGACGUAUACGAGCUGACGCCUGCCCGGUGCUGGAAGGUUAAGAGGAGAUGUGCAAGCAUUGAAUCGAAGCCCCAGUGAACGGCGGCCGUAACUAUAACGGUCCUAAGGUAGCGAAAUUCCUUGUCAGGUAAGUUCUGACCCGCAUGAAAGGCGUAAUGAUUUGGGCACUGUCUCAACAGCCCGCCCGGCGAAAUUGUAGUACCGGUGAAGAUGCCGGUUACCCGCGACAAGACGGAAAGACCCCAUGGAGCUUUACUGUAGCCUAAUAUUGGGUUUCGAUGUUGCAUGCACAGGAUAGAUGGGACAC